UGGAACUUAGUGUACUGGUUAGCACAGGGGCCUUUGACUCCCCUAGAGUUAGGUUCAAUUCCUACAGUUCCUG
rnacentral:tRNA from 1 species